GCCGAAGUAGCUCAGCGGUAGAGCAACUCCAUGGUAAGGAGUAGGUCGGGAGUUCAAUCCUCCCCUUCGGCUCCG
rnacentral:tRNA from 1 species